UUGUUAAAGAAUCGACACUGAAAUAUCUCUCGUUGAGCUCCUUCUCUUUCCAUUAUUUCGUUUUUGGAAAUCUCCCGUCAAGAGCACAGGAAACAAAGAUAUAAGAGAGAGAGAGACAGAGCGAAUGGCUGAAAAAAGGGGCUACUCCAUCGCCAUUCAAGCUGUCUUUAACUCCCUCGGCCAAUCCAAUAUCAUCCCAAAAGGAUUAAAUUGCUGAUGCUGGAAGUAACCUUCAUCAUACCUGAAGCGUAUUCGUUUAAGAUCAUUUCCGCCAUUAGGAAGGGACACGAAAGUAAUGUGAACACCCGGUUCCACCUGUGCCAUCCACUCCUUGGGCUCAUCUUCAUCCUCUAGCACCACAUCACAAGACUGAGCGGAUACUGACAUUCCUCCAGGAGUCUGGUCACCUCUCAAUGCCCCAGUAAAUCUUGAAUCAGAUCUUGUAUUAUGGUGGUGACUUGUGAAGUCCCAUGCGGGUGUUGAACUUGCACUUGCACCUCCAAGGUAGGGGUAUGGAACCCCUUCUGAAAUGGUAUCAAAGUCUGGGUAAUGCCGCUGGCCUUUCUUGUAGCUGCUGGAGCCUGUGCAGGGCUUGCAUUGCCGGUAAGCACCAGAAAAUUUCAAUGCCAUAUCCUUGAUCUGCGCAUUAAUGAAAUCCAUGGUUAAUGAAGUGCUUAGCAGGAAUUGGAAAACUUGAUUAUCACAUAAUUAAAACUCAAAAGUAAUAAAUGCUGAGCAUUGGAUCAGAUAAGAAUUAUAAAUUGCACAUGCCAAAAGAAUAUAAUACAAUUCCGUGAAAUGGAAAUUCAAGUUGCAGAUAUUUAUACUACGUUCAGAAUAAAUUCACUCAACUCUACAAAUACUUAAGCCAUUCUUGAAAAAGAUUCCACAUGGUGAGGAACGGCAUUAGUAGAUGGAGAAAAAACUUAAAAGCAUGUAUCAUGACCCAAACGAGCUAAGCUUUCCUUUAAGACUGAUAACAGACUUCUGAGAUAUAAUUAUGAAGUAGACUACUUACACUAAAUGUGGCGUAAAUACAAUAAUGCAAGCCUGCAUCAUUUGGAUGUUCAUGUAUAUAGAAGAAUAGGAAAGACUAUGAUUACGAUCCUCACACAAAUAAUUUCUUGAUAAAAAUAAAAGCCUAGAGGCUAGGAUAGAAUGAAAUCUCAAUUUAUGGGCUUGGUCUUCCAACGUGGACAGUUUUUAUUUGAAAAAAAACUAGGAAAUCAAGGAUUAGAAAAUAUAAGUCAUACAGGUAAGUUUUGAAAAUAACAAUGCUACUCAGUAUUGAAUUUUCCAUCCUUAAUCACAACUAUUUAUGUGCCGCAUUAUAAAUGGUUUCUAGAUCAACCACUUACAUGAAAAAUAACUCAUAAUGAGUCAUAUGGGCCGAUAUGAUUAGAGAUUAACAAAAUCUAUGAUAAAGAAUAACAUAUAUCAUUGACAAGAAGUAAUAAAUAAGAUCACAUAAUUCCUUUAACUUGAAUAUUUAGAGUCGUGCUAAAAUAGAGGUUUCAUGCAAGUAGCAAAGUUCAAUCAAUAGACAACACUGGCUGGAAAGAUUUUGAACCUUGCAAGAUGAAUUAAUGCUAUUGAAACGAUCCUUUAUCCACGCACCCAGAAAAUAAAAACAAAAGAAAUGGCCCUUUAUCCACUAUCAGAUUCUAGAUAUCUGGUAUAGAAACGAACCCCUGUACAAGUAAAAUGUUUUACGAAUCUACAAGGGAUCCAGCCUAGAACUGAGAGUACUGCAAAGUGUUACUUCUAAAGCUAUUGUGACGUACAUGGUUCAGGCAAAAAGAUCCAUAAAUGUGAAGCCAGUUGUCCAUGCAUUAAAGUAACUUGGCAGUAAUCAUCUUCUCCCCUCACAUGUACCCCAUUAAACGGGAUGGAAACCCUGUCCCUUUCCCUCAUAAUAAUGAUGAUAAAUGCCAGUCGGGCCAACAA